GAUGAACGCUGGCGGCGUGCCUAAUACAUGCAAGUCGAGCGAACAGACGAGGAGCUUGCUCCUCUGACGUUAGCGGCGGACGGGUGAGUAACACGUGGAUAACCUACCUAUAAGACUGGGAUAACCUCGGGAAACCGGAGCUAAUACCGGAUAAUAUAUUGAACCGCAUGGUUCAAUAGUGAAAGACGGUUUUGCUGUCACUUAUAGAUGGAUCCGCGCCGCAUUAGCUAGUUGGUAAGGUAACGGCUUACCAAGGCAACGAUGCGUAGCCGACCUGAGAGGGUGAUCGGCCACACUGGAACUGAGACACGGCCCAGACUCCUACGGGAGGCAGCAGUAGGGAAUCUUCCGCAAUGGGCGAAAGCCUGACGGAGCAACGCCGCGUGAGUGAUGAAGGUCUUCGGAUCGUAAAACUCUGUUAUUAGGGAAGAACAAAUGUGUAAGUAACUAUGCACGUCUUGACGGUACCUAAUCAGAAAGCCACGGCUAACUACGUG
rnacentral:rRNA from 1 species